GAGGGCAAGUCUGGUGCCAGCAGCCGCGGUAAUUCCAGCUCCAAUAGCGUAUAUUAAAAUUGUUGCAGUUAAAAAGCUCGUAGUUGAAUUUCUGCUGCUCCGCAUUUUCCCUUUGAGGGGUUUUUGCGCUGUGGCUUAUUUCGGACUGUGUUAUGCACUGUCCGGAUGUUUACUUUGAGAAAAUUAGAGUGCUCAAAGCAGGCUUUUGCCUUGAAUAGUUUAGCAUGGAAUAAUAAAGUAGGACUUUGGUUCUAUUUUGUUGGUUUUAGGUACCAAAGUAAUGGUUAAUAGGAACAGUUGGGGGCAUUCGUAUUUAACUGUCAGAGGUGAAAUUCUUAGAUUUGUUAAAGACGAACUACCGCGAAAGCAUUUGCCAAGGAUGUUUUCAUUAAUCAAGAACGAAAGUUAGGGGAUCGAAGACGAUCAGAUACCGUCGUAGUCCUAACCAUAAACUAUGCCGACUAGAGAUUGGAGGUCGUCAGUUUUUACGACUCCUUCAGCACCUUGAGAG
rnacentral:rRNA from 1 species